rnacentral:tRNA from 1 species
UCAAAAAGUAAGAAACAUCUUAAACCCUAACUUCCAAUGUUAAUAUUUUAAUUAUAAACUACUUUUUG